rnacentral:lncRNA from 1 species
GGACUCACAGGGCCAUACAAGUUAUGUGCAGCGCCCCUACGCUACAAAUCAACAAUCUCUAGCGCCCCAAAGCUCUUCAUCAGUACAAAAGCCAAGUUCCCAGUUCCCCAGCACCCAUAUACGGUGUCCCACAGCGCCCCGGCGCUAGCCAUCCGAGGGCAUGGUACGCAUGCAGCGCCCCGGCGCUGUCAUCCCAGUAUAAUCCAGCGCCCCAGCGCUAUAGGAGUGCUUUAAAGACUGCUGCUCAGCGCCCCGGCGCUCAACUCUUGCAUAAUUACAACGCCCCGGCGCUAGGGAUAUUACUCAGUUACUGCAGCUCAGCGCCCCGGCGCUCCCUACACGGUAAAACACAGCGCCCCGGCGCUGGGGCUAGAUUAAGAGUCCUAUUACACCACAACAACUAUUCAGUUCCACUCCUUUCCUGCUAACUCCUUCACACGUCUCCACCACUACACAUCCCCUGCACUCAUAUGGUAACUGCUCCUUGAAAUUUUUAUAUAAUUGCAUAUUGUCUAACAUAAUUCCGUAUAUCACAUUCGGUGCCUCAGUUUGCGAAGUAUGUUUCAUCUACUAUCUCUAGUCCAAGGUAUGUGCUGCAUUAAAUUCAAAUUUUUGUGGAACCAAAUCUUCUUGAUUGCAAAAAUGGUGAGUUAAUAUUCACCUUGAUUCAUCUUUUCCAUUUCUAAGGUGCUUAUUACCGUUCUUCUGUUUGGCUAAUUCCUUUUGCAUGCGUGUGAAUCACUUCCAAUUGGGAUGUCACGCAUGUGUGUUGUAGUCAAUGGUGAUUAACUGCUUGGGGUUUGGAUUUCUAUGCUAAUAGGGGUGUUCAAAAAGAAAUAUAAUCUGCCCACAAGGUGUUCAAUAUUUUUCCUGAGUCAAUUGUCUUGUUAAUCUCACACAACAACUUAUCCAACACUUAAUUCACUUGCAUACUUGCCAUCCCAAUACCAUAGGUCUCCUGUUAGAUAGGUAUAUUAUCAGAAUGGGGGGGCUAAACUAUAUUAAUGCAUACCUGGGUUCAUAUUUCUACGGGACUAUUGAUUUGUCGGAUUUGCACAUGCAUUGACUACUUGAUCGUAAUUGCUCAAAAUUUUGGCCUAUAUGUCAUGUCCAUAGUUAUUCGCUACCCAUGUACCGAAUGUAUGUACCCAUGUACCCAUGUUACAUCUUGUUGACGUACCUUGUUCUUCAUUUUCCAAUUGCACUAUUUGAAUGUAAAAUGAGACUACUUAGUAAAUUUUGUACUUUUAUACUACUAUGUGUCUCACCACACUCCCAACCAUGUUACACAACGCGAACUUAUUUUGUAGUUUGGGGGUAGUGCUAUAGGUACGUAUGUCCAUAUAAGAUUUAUGCCUAAGUCUAAUACAGUGCAUGUAAUUUCCUUGAAGAAUUUUCUAAAUGGCCUCGAAGCGUCAACGCGGAGAAGGUUCCGGGUCAGCCUCGGCUCCUCCAAAAUUUGACAGUCGUCGGUUCGUUAGUGUCGCAGCUCAAGAACGCUACAACCGUAUAGCUACCCACUCAUUAGUCCCCGAACGUGGUUUAAGGCCCGAUCAAACCAAGGAUGGGGACAUGGCGGUCAUAAUUGCUGAGAGGAAUUGGUUCACACUCACCGCACAACCCAAACCGGCAGUGAUUGCAGUCAUUAAAGAGUUCUACUCCAACAUUUUAGAGCAUUCACACUAUAGAGUGUAUGUGCGAGGCAAAUUUGUUGAAUUCGGCGAAGAGGACAUCAACGGUUGUUAUCAGUUUCCAUUGGAGGGACAACAUAAUGAUUAUGCCAGUCUUGUAAGUCAAGGACCAGACUAUGAAACCAUAAUACGCGAGCUUUGUCAACUGGGCACCAUAUGAACAUUGCAUGAAUGUGGCAGCAUGACAUUCCCUCUUUCGCACCUCAGUUUAUAUGGAAAGGCUUGGUAUGCCUUUAUUUGCGCCAAGCUUAUGUCGUGCACACAUGUGAGCCAUGUCACCAAGGAGAGGGUUGUGCUGCUGCAUUCCAUAAUUCAAGGCUUGAAAAUUAAUGUCGGCCUCGUCAUUCAGCAAUCAAUUCUGCGAGCUGCACGAGAAGGUACCACGGGAGGUUUACCCCAUCCAUCUCUCAUUUGCAUUUUAUGUGUGAAAUUUGGGGUCAAAUGGAAGUCAGAUGAGAUGAUUCAAACCCCAAUGCCGGUGUUGGACCAUAAGUUAAUCAGCAGGUAUAUAGUAUGGAUUGGUGGGGUGAACCACCCUCGGGGAUUGAGUUUUAUAAUUCCCCAAGUUGAAGCUCCACAAGCUUCACAACCUUCGGCCCCACCCACUUAUGGUCCUUCCUCUGCAGCGCACCAUGGUGUUGUUCCUGAGGCCGUCCAGCGUGAAAUUGAUGGUUGAUUCUACAAUCUUGAAUUCCAGAAUGUCCGCCUGUCAAAACAUCAAGAUGUGAUCUACAAGUUUAUGGUCGACUACUUCACUACCUAGAAUGUUAUUUAUGCUCAAUUAUACCCAGGAAUUAAUCUUAGCCAUUUCCCUACUGCUCUUGUUCUGCUUGUUUUUCCCCUUCUGAUUAAGAGAUGAGCGAGGAUGAUGCACCUGCGGAAUAAGCUCGUCAGGGAAGUCCUCUAUUUUAUAUUGUUAUAUUUUUUGCAUGAGGACAUUGCUCUUUAUAAGUUUGGGAGUAGUUUAGUUUCUAUUUGCAUUAGUAGAUGCCAUGUUUUUAGUAGUUUGUGGAUAGUAUGUUUUUAUUUUUUUUGUUACGUGUUGCAUUUAGGAUUUUAUAAAAUUCCAGCUAUUUAAUAGUUUAAGUAUAUUCGGGGCCAAUGAUGAAAUUGAAAUUGCAUGAACAAGUCUAGUAAAGAUUGUUAAGCUGGUGUUGUGAUGUUCUUGAUAUGAUUUAAAUCUUUAUCUGUUUGAAACUGAUAUUGUCAUGAUAGCACAUGUUAAGAAACGACCAUGUUAGCUGAUUAAGUUUAAAUGGAUAGAUAAUAGAUUUCUAAAGGAUAAAUACUAGUUGAAUGAAAGAACAACAUGAAUAGCUAGUGAUGGCUGAAGUUAGACAUGAAUUUAAGUUUGGGGGGAAAUAAUUGGAGUAUAUAAGCUUAAAAAAAAUUGUGGCUAGUUUUGUUUCGGGGCCUUUGUUACUUGAGCAAGUAAGCCCGAGGGAGUGUCUCUACACCUAGCGCCUAAAGGUCUUAUAUGGUCUGGGAGUCAUUGGUCGAAAGCUCGCUAAGGGGUAGCACUGUUAGCCUAAUGGAAUGAGACAUUGCACAGUCAUGGAAAAUAAAAAAAAUGAAUAAGACGGGAAAAAGUGCAAAAAGCCCCCAUUAAAAAAAUUAAAAUAAAAUAAAAAUAAAGCAUAAGUAUUCCAUUUUGACCCUUGGACUUUGGUAAUUGUUUGAUUUUAGCCGAAUCUAGUUUAUUUGAGGAGUUCUCGAGUUUACACUGUAUGAUGCCUUCUAAGAAAUCUAUUAUGUUUUGCAUUUUGUUUUUCAUCAGUUAGCAUGGUUGUUGACCACACACACAUGAUAUCAGUAAUAACAGGUUUAGAUUUAUUGAUUGUUGGGAAAUUAUUGAUCUGUCUUGAUAUGAUGUACUAGAAUGUUAUUGUAAUUUUUCUGAGGCCUAAUGAGUAUACGGUGUUCUAUUCGAUUGCUGGAAUUACAAACAUGUAGAUAGUUAUAUGUGCAUUUGCAUGGGUUAGUUAGUUUUUCUUGUUGCAUUGUGUUUUGUCGCUUGAGGACAAGCAACGAUUUAAGUUUGGGGGUAUUUGAUGAUUGGGUAAUAUACCCAUGAAUUGAAUAUACUUGAGCUUAAAUUAUUGUAUUCUCAAGUCUUUUAGUAGAAUUUUUACUGUGUUUAGUUAUUAUUUUGCAGAUUCGGGAGACGCAGGGACAAAUUAGGGAUUUGAGCUAUUUAAUGGCAAUUUUGUAAUUAAAUCAAAGGGCAGCGCCGGGGCGCUCUAAAUGAACUAUUGUUCAGCGCUGGGGCGCUGAAGCACAGAUCUAGUUGACCAAGGCGCGUGCAAGGGAAGAAUUUGAUGUGGAAUAGGAAAAGAGGUAAGACAUUGAUUGGGAUUAGGACCGAGGCAACAUGGAGAAAGAGUAUAUAAAGACUAAUUAGCUGAAAUUAAGGAAUAAUCAAUCAUAAUUGGAGGCUAAUUAAGGAAUCACUUGAAGAUUGAAGAUUGAAGCUUGGGAGAUUUUCUUUAGAGUUUCUUCUUCUCCUUAUUUUCAAAUUGUGUAAUUCUUUAAGGAUGAUUUUCAUGCGAUUGUUGGUUUUAAUUUUUAUUAUGAACUAAUUCUUUUAUUAAGACUACAAAUUGAAC